GAGGUGGCAGGAGAAAGGACGGCUCAGGAGUCUGGUUUCAGACGCUGGCUGGGUGGCAUUGCUGCUCCUCAAAGCAAGUACCAAGCUAGAGGACCUGUCCUGGAGGCCUGGACCAGGAUGUGGCCUGGGGCCAUUUGAGCUCUUGAGGCCAGAAGUCCAAGAUGGAGACAGGGGCAGGACGGGUGUCUCCAGAGCUGGCUCCCUGCCCCUUCGCGGGCCGUCCUCUGCCGUCUCCCCUGGCUUCUCUGCACUCCAGCUGCAGACAGAUGGGGACCCACCAGAGGACCUCGCUUCACCUUCAUCCUGCAUGCAGGACACACACGUGUGUGCGUGAGUGUGCAGAACUCGGGACACAGGCAAACGGAGCAACGGCUGUUUGAGGCCUGCAACUGCAGGGUUUUAUUCCAUCAGUAAAGAUGUACAUCUCCCAGGACUUAGGGCUUCCCGAUAAAUGUAAUCGAGUUUUAAAGAUAAAACUGGACUUAUUAAAGGUACAGCUUUCCAUAGGUGUGUUUUUUUGCCCCUGAAUUACGUACAAUCUCCUUAUUUUUGUUAUUAUAGUGUUGAAGUGGAUGGAGGUCUCCUGUUUUAAUAUUCUUUUUUUUCCACUGAGCCACAUCCCCAGCCCUUUUUGUAUUUUAUUUAGAGACAGGGUCUCACUGAGUUGCUUAAGGGCCUCACUAAAUUGCUGAGGCUGACUGAUCUUGUGAUUGUUAGGAUGGCCUUAGGCCUGAGACUAAGCAACUCCAUUUUAAAAACUCCAGUUUAACCUGCCGUUCACCAGGCACACCACAGAGCCCUCCAGUGUGGCCUCAGAAAAGUCACCUCCCCUCACCCUGAUAAACAGAGGGAAGCCCCUGGCAGGCUGUCCUCGCCUGAUAAGAGGGAAAAGUGAGAAGAUCAGGGUGGAGACCACCAGACCAGACGUUUCUGACCCCAGGGUAAAUGAUGUCACUGAGAAAUCCAGUGGUAGCUGAUAAGGAUUGAAAGAGGGGUCAAAAAAAAACCAAAAUUUAGUAUAAAUGAUAGAGCAAAGGAACAAGGAUGCCCUCGAGCUGGAGAGCCUGCUGAGGACCUGACAUCCCAUCACUGUCAUCAUUCCCUGAGCCUCCGCCUGAUCCUCACUGCUCUCACACUCCACAGCCUCAUCUGGACCUUGGUGAGAGCCGCAACGCCUCCCUAAGACCCCCUCCUCUACUGGGCGUCCACUCCACACCAGGAAAAGCCUGCUUUGGUUCCAGACCUGAUCCCCAUGGUCUGAGUGAGUGUGCAUCUGCUGGACAUAAAGCCUAAGGCUUGAGACUUUUGAGCUUAGCACACAGAGGGAAUGUCUGUCACGAGCCUGUCAUGAUCAAGUGCAUUUGCAGUGCUUACAAUUAAUCUAGAGUUUUUUGUUGUGAAUUAAUUCAUCUAGAAUUGUUUGCUGUGAAUUGAUCAUGGCUAUUGCAGUGCCUAGCAUUAAGGAUUGUCGUUUUCUUGAUUAAGAACCUGUAGAGUGAAAUUGUAUGGAGUAAUUUGAGUGAAUAAAGCAUUGAAAGAGGCACAA